ensembl:lncRNA
CCCUGUUCCUGCACAGCUACUGUCCACUGGGUUUCUCUCCAACCUGUUCCCCGAGAGCUACUGUCCAGUGGGUUUCUCUAUAACCCUGUUCCCGGAGAGCUACUGUCCAGUGGGUUUCUCUCCAACCUGUUCCCCGAGAGCUACUGUCCAGUGGGUUUCUCUAUAACCCUGUUCCUGGAGAGCUACUGUCCAGUGGGUUUCUCUAUAACCCUGUUCCUGGAGAGCUACUGUCCAGUGGGUCUCUCUAUAACCCUGUUCCUGGAGAGCUACUGUCCAGUGGGUUUCUCUAUAACCCUGUUCCUGGAGAGCUACUGUCCAGUGGGUUUCUCUAUAACCCUGUUCCUGGAGAGCUACUGUCCAGUGGGUUUCUCUAUAACCCUGUUCCCCGAGAGCUACUGUCCAGUGGGUUUCUCUAUAACCCUGUUCCCGGAGAGCUACUGUCCAGUGGGUUUCUCUAUAACCCUGUUCCCGGAGAGCUACUGUCCAGUGGGUUUCUCUAUAACCCUGUUCCCGGAGAGCUACUGUCCACUGGGUUUCUCUAUAACCCUGUUCCUGGAGAGCUACUGUCCAGUGGGUUUCUCUAUAACCCUGUUCCUGGAGAGCUACUGUCCACUGGGUUUCUCUAUAACCCUGUUCCUGGAGAGCUACUGUCCACUGGGUUUCUCUAUAACCCUGUUCCUGGAGAGCUACUGUCCACUGGGUUUCUCUAUAACCCUGUUCCUGGACAGCUACUGUCCACUGGGUUUCUCUAUAACCCUGUUCCUGCACAGCUACUGUCCACUGGGUUUCUCUAUAACCCUGUUCCCAGAAAGCUACUGUCCAGUGGGUUUCUCUAUAACCCUGUUCCCGGAGUGCUACUGUCCAGUGGGUUUCUCUAUAACCCUGUUCCUGGAGAGCUACUGUCCAGUGGGUUUCUCUAUAACCCUGUUCCUGGAGAGCUACUGUCCAGUGGGUUUCUCUAUAACCCUGUUCCUGGAGAGCUACUGUCCAGUGGGUUUCUCUAUAACCCUGUUCCCGGACAGCUACUGUCCAGUGGGUUUCUCUCCAACCCUGUUCCCGGAGAGCUACUGUCCAGUGGGUUUCUCUAUAACCCUGUUCCUGGACAGCUACUGUCCAGUGGGUUUCUCUCCAACCCUAAUCUUGCACACGUGUUCCUAA